rnacentral:misc_RNA from 1 species
CCGAGAUUGACAUCCGAGAAGCUACGGCGCUCUGGCCAGAUUCCGGUAUCGAACACUCCAAUAAUGACGUCGGAUCCAUAAUUAGAUUCGGACCAGAGCCCUUGCUGAUUUCGGAGGCCGAGAAAUUGAGGCGACCUUGUAGUGUGAAGCUGGCGGCGACGGUCCUCGAAAACAGAGAGAACCGAAGGGUGUUGGCCUAAGUAUGUGGCAUGAUCUGGAGUUACAGCAGCAGAAAAACCAUGAAAAACGGUGUCGUAUACAUGCAGGAUUUG